rnacentral:rRNA from 1 species
UACGGAGGAUGCGAGCGUUAUUCGGAUUUAUUGGGUUUAAAGGGUGCGUAGGCGGGAUGCCAAGUCAGCGGUAAAAAUGCGGUGCUCAACGCCGUCGAGCCGUUGAAACUGGCGUUCUUGAGUGGGCGAGAAGUAUGCGGAAUGCGUGGUGUAGCGGUGAAAUGCAUAGAUAUCACGCAGAACUCCGAUUGCGAAGGCAGCAUACCGGCGCCCUACUGACGCUGAGGCACGAAAGCGUGGGUAUCGAACAGG